ACUUUCCUGUAGUGUUAGUGUAAAAAUUUUAUUUUUUGAGCCAAUGCUUCGAAAACGGGGAUGACUUCCUAUCGCGGUGUGCAUGCCUUCAUUGGAGUUAUGUCGAAGGAAGCCUGAAGUGGUAUACAGAUUCCCCACCUGUCAUUGUCAGGUUCAAAAAAACAUUUUUGCACGACAUUGCGGGGAGGGG
rnacentral:other from 1 species